CAGAGGACUCCGCUGUACCCCCACACCGCCGGAAGGAUGGAGAGCGUCGCAGGAAGCAGGUCCGAGCCACGAGAGUUCUCAGGGCGGGAAAGAGAACCGAGAUGCAUGUUUCACAUUGAAGCGCAUCCUCUUUCACCUAGCUCUAAAACGAAACAGAAAAUCGCAGCUGCUGUAUCAAGGGCUGAAGAGGCAGCGAAGGCCCUCUCCGACCUCCCCGCAGUUCCUAGGAUGAUUGCUCUCGCAGCCAAGGAGUCCUGUCCCCGAAAGUUACCGAAACUUUAAAGGACGCCGGCCAAGGAGACCCGGGGCGGCCCGAGGCAGGGUAAGGCCUCCUGGACUCCUCGAAAGCAGCUCGCACCGGGAGGAGCCAGAGGCGGGGCGUGAACAACGCGGACCCAGCGGGUUCGGGAGGAGGACAUCACACAGAAAGGAGCGGGAAUGGAUUCUAGAGGGCCAGAAGGGACCGGCCCCAGAGAGUGGAAUUGAGAGGGAGCUCCUCCGCGCCCGGGAGCAGUCCCCGGACUCCUCUGACAUCCUGUCUGUGACGACCCGGAUCUUCUAGGGGAUUCCUGGGGCCAGCGCAGUCUCUCCCGGCACGUCGCCAGGAGUCGAGAGCACAGAAUCUCUCCCGCCACGCCACCCCCCAGACGCACGCGCUCAACUCGCCAGUCCUGGGAAAUCCCUACAAUUCACCGUGCGAAGCCCAAGGGCUCAAGCUCGGGGCCGCGCAGUUCGCCGCAGCCUCGGUCACAAGCUCGCCGCAGAGGAGCCCGGUGAAACAGCGCCAGCCCCUCGGGCGCUUGUCCCUUGCUCAUCCAUUGCCUCCCCCUGGUCCCCGCCCCCC